GGGCCCGUAGCUCAGCAGGCAGAGCACCAGACCGAUUACCUGGGUGUCGCGGGUUCGAAUCCCGUCGGGCCCA
rnacentral:tRNA from 1 species